rnacentral:rRNA from 1 species
UACGAAGGGGGCUAGCGUUGCUCGGAAUUACUGGGCGUAAAGGGCGCGUAGGCGGAUAGUUUAGUCAGAGGUAAAAGCCCAGGGCUCAACCUUGGAACUGCCUUUGAUACUGGCUAUCUUGAGUACGGGAGAGGUGUGUGGAACUCCGAGUGUAGAGGUGAAAUUCGUAGAUAUUCGGAAGAACACCAACGGCGAAGGCAGCUCGCUGGGACGGAACUGACGCUAAGGCGCGAAAGCUAGGGGAGCAAACAGG